ACAUGCCCAGAACCAGAUGCUUAAAAGGAAAAUGCAAAACAUCCUGGCGUGGAUAAUUACGAAAUAGUCUGACCACGGGAGAAAUUUCUGCAUAAACGACUGUAGUCCUAAAACGUUAAAUAUUUAUAUUUCUUCCAAAAAGGCAUCAGUGCAAUUUCCCAUGGACACAGGACUUAUGCAACCAAUGUGCUGCCUGGCCGUGCAGAUCUCCGACUCCUUCCCUCUCUGUCCACCCUCCUGCCUCCAGCAAUCCCUGAACACAUCUAAUCUCUGCCACCAGGAGCACAGGUCUCACAAACACCCUACGGCUUUCAGGAGCACGAGUUGCUCCUUGGUGAGGAGAGGCAGCUAGUUGUGCCAGCCCAGGGUGAGCUUACACCUCAUUAGAAACCAGAGAAACCGCAUGGGAGGUGAUCUCACAAAUGCUCCAGCUGUGGGAAAAGAUUCAGCUGUGGCUUCUCCAUCAACAUGAGAUGCAAAUCCCAGAAGCAGCAUUGGGAAGGCACUUGGACACACCCAGCUGUGGGUUGCUUGCUCCUAAUAUAAAGUUCCUGAAGAGGUGGCCAUAAUUUUCACUGAAGAAGAAGCAAUAGAAGGACUCAGAAGAUUGGUGGCCUGGAAGAAGAGAAGCAAGAAGACUCUGCAUGUCCAGUGGACCGGAGACCCUAUAAGUCUAAGGGACAGAGACAUGGCAAGUCCAAAGGGACUGGCAGCCAUUCUUACUGAUUUCUUGCUGAAAUGUGGCUCUGGAGAGUUUUGUGAAGCUGGAGAGCAUUAUGUGUUUUUGACUGGACCUCAUACUCUAACAUCUUGCUUCCCUGAGCUGCCGUAUCAACACGUUAUUUUCGAUACCUUUCCCUUGCACUUUAGAUAUUUAUUUUGUGUUCCAAUCUCCUCCUCCAUGUCUACAACACAUCCUUAACCCUCAUUUCCACACUCCCACAUAAUCUACUGGAAGGGUGAUUUUUUUGGCAUUUGCGAGUGGUGUUAACAAGGAUCAGAUGCUGCCAUUGUUUAUGAAAGAGCUAGGUUUCCUUUACCAGCUGUGGCAUGCACCAGUAAAAAAAAUCCAGCAGUGCGGACUUUACAGUGGAGUUCUUGUAUUUAGCAGGUGAAAAGUCAAUACUCUACCUGUAAUGAGAUUUGGUCAUGGAAAACCCCUUGAAGUUGUUUUUAGCAAGGAGGCAUUAGUCACCCUUGGACAGCUGCUGGCCACUCGACGCUUCUGGCUCGCACCGCGCCGCAUGCAAGGGCUGUUUUGAAGGCUGCUCAGCGUUAACGGUGACUCUUGCUACGCCUCAGGUGUUGAGUUUAAGCACAUGGUUCCUGGUUAUUUUAGGAAAACAUUAGCUCACGUUCCAAGCAGCCUUCCCUCCUGUGAGAACCUCACUGCAGCCCAUUCCUGUGUAUGGGGCUGAGGAUGAUAUCUUUGGGGAACUAGUGUGCCUUGGAUUGUCUUCCAGUUUUAGAGAUAUGAGAUGGAGAGGUGAUGAAAUGGCGAGAUGAUGCAGCGCCAUGAUGGGGCUGUGCUGGGAGCACCUCCAAAAGUGUCACCAGAAGCCUGAUGGCCACCCAAAGUAUUUCGCUGCACCCAGUGCCCUUCUGGGUGAUAACCUGCCCACACACAAUGGGGAGCUGAGGAUGUGUUUGGAAAAUAUGGAGAGGUUGGUCAGGAAACUCAUGGAAAUGCAAGUGCAAGGGCUGAGGAAAAGGUGUUUUCUGUGUCAGACAUAGGUUAGGCGAAGAGGAGACAGCGGAGAGGUGAGAUCAUGGAGCAAGGUCUGAGGAGUGGAAUCUAUUAGAGCAUCAAAAGUGCUGGAUUAAGUCAUACCAUGUGAAGGCAGCUCCUAAAGAAAGGGAAAAUACAGGUGAUGAAGGAAGAAGUCAGUUUAAUAGACCUGAAAUCUGGCUUGCCUGCAGAAAUGUGGGCUUGGAGCCUUCUUAGGAAAUAAAAGAAGAAGCUGCUGCCCUGUGGAUGCUUACCCAUUUCCUUCACCCCAUGGCUUCCCCCAGUCUCCAGCACUGGCUAAGCAGGAAGGAACUUCUGCUCAAGGAGAGUGCUGGAUUUUCUGGCUAGUGGACAAGGGCAAGGAAGGCCCAGUGAGGGCAGUUCUUGCACUAAAUAUAGAGAGUGGGGAUCCAUGUUGAUGCAUGGCAGGAAUUAGUGAAGAGGAGCCACAAAAAAUGGUCAACAAGGGUCCUUUCUCUGGGACCAGCCAACCCUUUCCGUUCUCUGCAACUCAGGCAGAGUUUGCAGAGAAGAAAGUCUGAUGAUAUCUUGAAACAAUACAUGCAGCUUUUGCUGAUAUCUUUAUCAUAGCGCAAUCUAAGAGUGUACGUAACUUGGAUCUGACAAGCAGAUCUGAGAAAACUUUUUAUGAUAGAGAGUACAUUUAAAUGUAGCUCUGGAGACGACAAGGAGAAUUUGAAAUUCAAUUUCUUCUAUAGAUAUGACAAAAAAAAAAAAAAAAAAAGCAAAUGUGAAAGUGUUAGAAAAGAUACAGAAUUUCAUUUAGACAUCUUGUGUUGAUGUCUUCCUUUGAUAACUUUCAGGGCCACAGUACCCUUCAUUUAAGACACCUAGAAAAAGUAGGACAUGAAAAGAGCAGAAACCAGGCAGAACAGAGUCUUGUUUGGUACGAGGCUUCUUGAGAGAGGAAAAGUGGCUGUUUCAGCUGUUGAAUUAUUCUUUCAGUUUUACUGCUCAGGUUCUCCUGAGUUGCUCCAAUGGCACAAUGGAGUCUUAAAUCUUAAAUCUAACGAAGGGAUUCUCUUGGUGCAGGGAAACCCCUGUGCGGCCUCCAGCCAAGGAAGUUGUUUAAGUGAGGCUAUGGUUGUAUUUAGACCAGGAAUGGUUCUCUGUACAGGGCGGAAGCAUGUGGAAAGGCACAAUGCAACUGAGAAGUUCCCUCCUCUGUUUCCAUUUUGUGGCUUCUGCAAUAAUCUGUCAAAGGAACCUUAUAAACCCUUAAGUAGUGGUUUUUUUAAAACAUGGCUGUUAUGGUAAUGAUUUAAUGCUGCCUCCUUUGUUAUGUGUUAAUGGUGCCUUCCUCUUAAGUCUACUAAUAAAAGAAACUUAAACCUCAAUGUGAAAGUC